GCGCUGAAGUGCUUUUCGGUGUCUUGUUUGUUUUUCCAGAUUUUUAUCCCUAUUAGUGCUUUAUCCACCUAAGUCCGUUAAGUUGAGCCUCUGCUCCUUCGGCCGUGUCGAUUUUGUGCUUGAGGUGAUCGAAAUCUUGUGAAUUUUGUGCUUGAGAUAGGACUCGUUGACCCGUUUUGUGAUAAUUAAUAUUUAUCAUGUCUAAUAGAAAGUGUUGUGUUCCCGGAUGUACAAAUGGCUUAGACACUACGGGGUAUUUACAUAAAUUCCCUAAUCCAGAUAAGGAUAGGCAGCUAUUUAAUACAUGGGUCUUUCAUAUUGGUGGUGACAUUUUGCAACUUGAAAAUAACCAUAUUUUCAAAUACCGCCGCGUCUGUAAUGAUCAUUUCGAACCAAAAUAUUGGUGCCGGAAUAACCGACUUGCCAAAGGAGCUGUACCUACAAAAAACAUGCCAGGAUUAUCUUGCUCGAAAUUCAGCAUUGAAAAAAGAGCACUAAGACCUCUUCAGAUUUCAGGACCGUCUACAUCAAAAGGUAUAUUUUAUCAUAUACAUAUAAACAAGCAAUUCAUUUUUAUACAUACAUACAUACAUUUACAUUACGUAUGUACUAGCUUCCACUUGCGGCUUCGUCCGCAUGGUGUAUUGAUAAAAAGUGGCCUAUGUCUUAAUCCAGGGUAUCACCUAUCUACAUACCAAAUUUCAACCAAAUCGGUCCAGCCAUUUUUGAGUGAAGUUAUUUCAAAGAUCAUUUAUUCCUACAAAUUAGGCUGAAAUUGAGUAUAUAUAGCUAAUAAAAAAUGGCUUUGCAGUCCCAGCGACUCUCUCUUAAAUUGUGUUUCGAAUCUGCAGGAUAUAAAUUACACAAUAAUUAAAAAAUGUUUGGAAAAAAAAUAUUUAAAAGAUUUCAUCAAAACAUUAAUAUUUAUACAUUUGAAAUUCGAUUUCAUAAAAUGUGAAAUUCAUAAAGAAAAAUUAAUAGACUUUUUAAUCAAUAUAUCCUGCAGAUUCUUUAUUUACAAUUACUGUAAAGAUAUUAAUAAAAUAUUAAUAAAUAGGAGAGAGUGUGAUGAUGAUACGGAUUCCUAUAAGCUAAAAGCGAAAAAAUUAUACAUGAAAUGUUUUAAAAGAAAAAAAUAAAUUAUAUUAAAGGUUA